AUCCACUGUUUCAAUUGUUGGUAUAUUAGUGUAUUCGAACUGUACUUAACCAAGCCUACUUAUCAGUCCUGGCGAUGUCUUACUCUCUCUCCCCUGCCUCUGAAGGAAUGGUGUUAAUCCGCAGUGACAGCGGGCAGUUGAUCUUGGUCUCUCAGCAGGCUCUGGCACAGGCUCAGGGAAUGCUGCCAAAACCAGCCAGUGCCACUGCUUAGACCCCAUCCUCACAGGCAACUGUAACCACUACACCAAUCAUCAGAAUUUCUCUCCCACCUUCCAGUGCAUCAGCUACUAACAAUAUUAAACUUAACCCCACUACAGGGACUGCCGUUCAGAAACCACCCACCGCUACAGGGACUGCUAUUUUCACACCAUUAUGUACAACAGGAGCUACCAUUAUUAAACCAGCCGAUGUUACAGGGACAGCCAUCAGAAAGCCCAGCUCUACCAUCGGGCCUGUUAUCAAAGCCAGUCAAAUGACUCCAAACAGCAGCACACCGGGGACCUUUAACCAGAGGACUAAUUCUGUCACUGCAACUACCAUAAUUAAUACCUCUGCUGUAAAGUCUGUGGGCAAAGGUGUUCUCUCCACCCAGCGUAAUGCCCCACAUAUGGUGUCUCCUAAUGUACCGACCAGAUCUAGCACAAACACAU
ensembl:lncRNA